GGUAGCACAUAAAAUAUCUUCUUAGUCUUAAAUCAAAAUUCAAAAUUCUUGGGAUAUUGAAUUCUUGUUCUGAAGAAGAGGUUACAGUGACAUGGUUUCCAUGGAUAUGAGCUCAGAAAUCCUCACAAGAAUUGGGUGCAUACUUCUUAUGAUACCAAUUAUGGGUUUCUGGCUCAAAUAGGAAAUAUAUUAACAGAGUUUCGUUGUCCCUAAAUUUAGCUCCAUUAAAACACAAACGACUUGGGUUCCAUUGUGUCAUUUUGAUUAUUGUGUUCUUUACAGUUGGUGCAAUCACCCACCCUUCAUCAGAUAUUUCAAGAUUUAAAAAUCAUUUAUAUGGGCGUUGCAUUUCAAGGUUACUGUGUUCUUCAAGGUUUCUUGACCGCCAUUUUCCGAUAGAGGGAGAUUGAAUUCUUGUUCUGAAAAAGAUAUGAGCUCAGAAACACAAGCGACUCGGGUUCCAUUAUAUCAUUUUGAUUAUUUUGUUCUUCACAGUUGGUGCAACCAUCCUUCAUCAGAUAUCUCAAGUGGCAUGGUUUCCAUGGAUAUGAGCUCAGAAAUCCUCACAAGAAUUGGGUGCAUACUUCUUAUGAUACCAAUUAUGGGGACAUAAAGAUGAUAGAGUAUGACCAACAGUAAAGUGCUUAACAGAGGCAAGUGCAAUAAAACCAGGAAAUCCAAGAUGUUGUCCUCUUACCUGAUGAGGUGUUACUGUUGGUGCUACUGUCUUCUCAAAGAUUCAGAUGCAAAGACAAAGAAUCUCUGCAAUCUUCUUUCGAAGACAAUCUCCAUACACAACGGAAGGGAAUUGAAUAUUUAGAUAGAGCCCAAGGAGCUGCGGUAAGAUGCCAGGCACCUGCACAAAAUGUCCAAUGGUCUGCAAAAUCAAUGGCCCUAGUUGACAACAUUCAUAACCCAGUUUUAACAGAGACCAUGAAAGUGAAUGCUGAGUUUACGAAUUACUCCCAGCCCAUUGAAUCACAUCACAUGGUAUAUGAGAAGUUCAUUACAGAUUAGGAUAUUUUUCUGUUUGCCAAAGGUAUCAACUAUAAACGUUGCAUCUUGAAUGGCACAAUAGAAACUACUGUAACUCUAUUUGCUUUCUGCACAAGAGAUCUUUAGGUGUGAGCAUCCAGAAGAAGAAGAAGUACUUCAUCAGUUGCUUGGAUACAAAAUCACUCUGUCAAUCCUUGGAAACCCUAUUCCUUCUGUUGUUUAUUAUUACAUCCCACCAUCUUAUCACAGACCUCCGCAGUAUGCUCAUGUUAGAACUGCAGAAAGCAAGAUGAAACAAUGUGCCUGGACCAUGGUGUUUAUCUCUGGACUCCGGCCCCUUCUCGCAGCGGAUCAACCUGGGUUCGCUCCAAUGGACGCAUAUGCUGCCAGUUCAGUCGCCAAGUAUCCUGCAGCAGCGGCCUGCAAUAUGUUAGGUUCAAGAUGGUUCCGUGUGGGGUAAAUUUACUGCAUACGCAUCCAUGAGCUUCAGAAAUGCUUACUCUUAUCUCAGGAGGGCAUCUUCAAGUUGGUUUUGUUGACACUCAAGGUCAAGCUUUCAUCGAUAUUUUGCAUCCUGGAGAUGUCACCAUAUUUUCGAGGGGGACACUGCAUUUUGAACUUAAUGUUGGAACUGAAGAAGCUAAUUAUAUCUCUGCUCUCAACAGUCAAAAUCCUGGUGUUGUGACAAGCAGCAUGUCAAUAUUGAAGCUUCCAUUGAGAAGUGUGGCAACAGCUUUCAACAUCACCCAACAAGCUGUAAAGAAAUUAGAUUGAACGAUAUAUGCCAGUGCAUUGGGACUGAAAAAAACAUCCAAAAGCGAUUGUGUUCCAGGAAGAGAUAUUACUGAAGAAUUUUUAAUUAUAUGUUGAUUCCCACUCCACCACAAUAAAUGGCGUCCAUUGGGAACCAUAUGCACCGACCCGGCAUAAUGUGAGCAGAUAUCCAUUGCCAUGGGCUAAGACACAGGAAGCAGAGUUUUCACACUGUGCUUUCAUGGCCAGGGAAAAGUUCCAAUGGAUGAUGUAUACCGAUGUGGAUGAGUUUGUAUUCUCUGAUUCUUGGUUGAAUGAGCAGGUGGGUCCUGAGGACAAGGGCUUUCAGGAAGUAAAACCCAGCUGCAAGGAUCUUACUUCAGGGGCUCUCCUGAACAUGGUUAUGAGUCUAAGUUCACAGAGGAACAGCCUUCAAGAAUUUCCGAAUCUCAUAUCGGGCAACUUUCCUUCUAGUGUAGGAAUUUUGGGCCAUCAAGGCUUACCGAACACCCUGAGAGAGAGGCAGGAGAAAAGGUUCAAGUCCAUACUUUUGUUGGAAGCAAGUGCUUCAGAACACUUGAAGCACUUGCAGUUAGUUGUUGAUCUGAUUUUGGUUAAUUUGUAGUUACGUUAGAGGAGGUGAUAUUGGAAACAAAUUUAAGAUUCUUUGUGUUUAACAAUUUCUAUACACAACCAAAGGGAACUGAAUAUUUAGAUAUAGCCCAAUUUUCCCACUUCCUUUUCAAAGCAUUUUUUCCUUUGUAUUGUUUGUGUUUUUGAUUUUUUGUUUACUAGCUUCUUUGGGUUUGUUCUUGGUUUCUGAUGUGAUUCCUAUCUUUUUAUUCUCAAAUCCAUCCCAUCCCUUCUUAUCACCUUGAGAAUUUUUCUUAGCAUCUUAUUUCAAAAUAUUUUUUUUGAUUGCUAUUCGUAGUUUCUCUUUCUCUGUACUUAUUUUUUCAUAAUUUCUUUUACGAUGAUAAAGAUUCCUAAAGUCUCCAACUAGAAAUUCAUUUAUGUUUUUUGCAAGUUUAAAACUUUGUUAAAGUUUUUUUCGUAGUUCCUGCUCUUGUUGUUUUUCUUUUUCUUUUCUUCGUUUUUCAACCUAUCUUUCAAUCUGUCUAGCUUUUAUCACUUUUUUGUGCUCUUGGAACCUUUUCUUUAGUUUUUGCACUCUUUCUAAGCGUUUCCGCUAAUCUUCUAGCUCGAAUACCUUUUCCAAGUUCUUAAUUUCCUUUGGAGUAGUUGCGGAAUCCAAUUUUUGUAAUCUCUGUUCUUCCAUCUUUUAUCUUUCUUGUUUUCGUUGUCUCCUUUCCUCUUUGAUUUUUCGAAAUUCUGAGAGUUUGCUUCUUCUUUGGAUGUUCAAUUCCCUUUAGUUUGUAUAAAAAUUGUUUGAGAAAAAACAUUGCAGAGAUUCUUUGUCUUCAAAUCUGAAUUUUGGAGAAGAUGGUGGAACCAAUAGUGACACUUCACCAGACAAGAGGACAACAUCUUGGAUGAAUAAAAAUCCAUGGCUUUGCUUCAUAGUCAGAUUCAAGGAUUGGAAAUGAUUCCUCUGUGAAGCACUUGCUUGUAUGUGUAUGUUGUAUUCUAUCAUCUUUCUUCCAAAUCCUUCUUGCAGACCUCUAGGUAAGCGCAAAGGAAUCCUUAAAUUUUUGUCUGAUAACAACUCCUCUAACGUAACUCUAACUUAACCAAUGACAAGUGAACAACUGACUCAGAAAAAAUAGAAUAAGGAAUGCCUAAAAUUCUCAGCUGCUGUCAUCUAUUGCAAGUAUCCAUUAUGGCUACAUAUUACAAGGACAGAAAUACUUCUGUGGCAGUACCAGCGUUUGAGGAUCCAUAUCAUCUUUGACUAAAACAUCUGUGGUAAGUUUCCUUCAAGUGUAGGAAUUUUGGGCCAUCAGGGCUCACUGAACACCCUGACAGAGGGGUAACCCAAAGUUACACUGCAGAGAGAGGCAGGAGAAAAGGUUCAACUCCAUAGUUUUGUUGGAAGCUGCCUCUACUUCAUUGUUUAAUGUAAUACACCGUUUCCAGCUGAAGAAGGGGUACAGGACAUUUUAUAUGCAGUCCUCCAUGGCAAUGAUAAAUCAUUAUAAAUAUUAGGCAUGGAUUGAGUUUAAGGUCAAGUUUAGGAAGCGAGUAUCUGCCUAUGUUGUGGAUUGGAGUGCGUCUAAAUAUUCUGCUUCUCAGGACAAAACAGCUGGCUAAGGCCAUUCAGCCAGAUGAUUGGGAACAUAGAUUUUGUGAGGUGAUAGAUACUGCAUUGAAAGAUUUUGCAAUCAGGGUGUUUUGAUUGAGUAAUGAGCCAACUUCCAAACUAGAAUGGCAGUUAUAAAUCUAAUGUUUAAUGUUCAUAUACCUCAAAUUCUGUUUACUUGUAUAUAAUAACAAAUCCGUAUUGCCCCAGGUUUAAACUUGACAAUUUGAACUUAAUGCCAAAGGCAAAGAGGAUAGAUCAAUCUGUUACAGCAUAAGCCGUAUUUGAAAUCAUAAAUUAAGUAAAAGAGCAUAAUUGUACCAUGAUAUGUUUCACCAGGACAAGUCCUA